rnacentral:misc_RNA from 1 species
CUGCCUCCCGCGAUCGGCUGCCGCCGCGCCAGCUCCGCACGCAAAUCACGCCGCCGUCCUCGCGGCCGCAUCGCCCCCGCACAUCCCUGUUCUGCCCGCCGCGAGCACGCCGCGAUUCGUUUCCCUCCGCGCGCGAGCACACCAUCCGCGGCCGCCAUCCGCCGCGCCAAAUCCGCCGCACGCGAGCACGCCGCACGCGAGCACGCCGCGAUUCCUUUCCAUCCGCGCGCGAGCACGCCGCGAUAUCAGGUCCGCUGCCGCUGGAAGGUGCCCGCCCCGCAGCGGAGAAUGGAAGGCCCUCACGCCCGCACGCCCGCUGGAAGGUCCUUGAUUGAGCGUACGCGGAUGGAAGGUCACCGUACGCGGAUGGAGGACGCGGAUGGAAGGUCCGUGGCCAAAUCCCGGGAUCCGCAACCUCCUCCUCUAUCAUGGACGCGGAUGGAAUGUCAGAGAUCUCCGCUCAGGUCCGUCAAUGGAAGGCAGACCUCCCUUGAAUGGACUUUCCAUCCGCCCUCAAAAAUUACAGACGCCAGUGAAGCGACGGGUCCCUUUAUUUCCAUCCACCCUCAAGAAUUCCAGACGCCAGUGAAUCCACGGGUCCCUUUUUUCUCUCGUAGCAUCCUCCUUGGACGCAUCCGUUUUUUCUCUCGGAGCAUCGCCCUCAAGAUUCCACGGGUCGCUAACGUCACAGUGCUGAAGAAAGAAGUCCCAAGUGAUCUUGAAGAACUAUACCUUCAACGGCAAAAUCCAAGUAGUUUGUUGUUUCAUCUAGCGAGGUGUCUAUUGUUCGACGACUACCGUGAUGAAGAUUUUUAUGGGCUUCCGCGGAAAUACAGUAUUGUCGCUCGGGUCGAAGUUAAAUUCCCGAUUGAACCACGUUUUCGUGAUAGACAACAUUUCGUUUUGUCUGACAUCAAUGGAGCCAAGAUCGAGGCCAUAACAUAUAUGUAUGAGACAGUCAAACAUUUCGACAAUUUGCUCCAUGAAAAGCAUGUUUACAAGAUGCAUAAUGUGAAGUUCAGUCUUCAUCCGGGUGAAUUUAAUUUUCGUCAUCUAAAUGGUCCCAUGGAAUUGUGUCUUGACCAACAAACUAUCGUGGAGCCAUACACUGUUCCAAUUCAGAUGGCGCCAUUCCCAAAACAAAUACUAUUGAACCUUGUUGAUAUUGCCGAGUUGCCAAACAGGACUUUAGUCGACAUUAUGGCUGUUGUAGUCCACUUGGAUACAAUACAUCGCACAAUGUGGGGCCCUUUCAGAAAGAUUGUUAUAAUGGAUGCUAGGGGAUAUUUACAUAUCAUUAAAGUUUGGGGUGACCUACUGAACAAAAAUGCACUCCGCUGGGCGUUGGCUAAGGAGGAUUAUGGCAUAAUAAUUGGGACUAUGUUUAGACGGUUCAGAAGACAAGAGUGCCUCGAAUCUUCGGAUCAUACCGCAAUACACUUCAAUCCGUUCCAUCACAACACCCAUCAUUUUGGACCAAUCCAAAAAGCUUUGGUGGCGCGGAACAACCGUCAGUUUGCUGUUACAUUUCUUGAAGAACAAAGGCGUAGAUAG